CUGAUUCUGCAAGAAUAGCUGACCAGAAAGUCUGAGGGAUCCUCCUGAGAAGAUGGGUGAUGAGAGGGAGUCCUGAACUCAAGUCCUAAUGUUUACCCAAGAACACCUCUUGGGCUGAGCCAUUGCCCAAGCCUUUACACUUGUGUAAAAGACUUCUAAAGAAAACGAUGGGGUUAAAAACCGAAAGACGGACCCUCUGCUGCUCCUGUUGGGAAGAGAAGCCUGGCUGAAUAUUAAUCAGGGAGAGAACAUCAGGAUUCAUAACAGAGGCUGUGCUGGUGGCCGCGAGAGGGCACAGCCCACAGUCCAAUUGGAUGAAACAUUGUAGGUACAGAGUUAAUCUAUCAUGGCUUCAGGGUGGUGUAAUUUAAGGUUCUUGGUCAGAGGGCACGCGAUAACCUGGCCUGAAGGGACAGGAGACAGCAUCACUGAAAGACUUGCUGACUUCACAAUCGCCUACAAAAUAAAGGACUUUACCAUUGCCCAUAAGAGACUCUCCCCGACCCACCGCAACCUCUCUCUGACACCGCAUUUCACUGUAAAAGAAACGUGUGAAACACCGAA